UACGUAGGGUGCUAGCGUUGUCCGGAUUUAUUGGGCCUAAAGCAUCCGUAGCCGGUUCUACAAGUCUUCCGUUAAAUCCAGCUGCUUAACAGAUGGGCUGCGGAAGAUACUAUGGAGCUAGGAGGCGGGAGAGGCAAGCGGUACUCGAUGGGUAGGGGUAAAAUCCGUUGAUCCAUUGAAGACCACCAGUGGCGAAGGCGGCUUGCCAGAACGCGCUCGACGGUGAGGGAUGAAAGCUGGGGGAGCAAACCGG
rnacentral:rRNA from 1 species